rnacentral:rRNA from 1 species
GCGGCGUACGGGUGCGGAACACGUGUGCACUGCCUUUAUCUGGGGGAUAGCCUUUCGAAAGGAAGAUUAAUACCCCAUAAUAUGUUGAAUGGCAUCAUUCGACAUUGAAAACUCCGGUGGAUAGAGAUGGGCACGCGCAAGAUUAGAUAGUUGGUGAGGUAACGGCUCACCAAGUCUACGAUCUUUAGGGGGCCUGAGAGGGUGAUCCCCCAACUGGUACUGAGACACGGACCAGACUCCUACGGGAGGCAGCAGUGAGGAAUAUUGGACCAAUGGGUGAGAGCCUGAUCCAGCCAUCCCGCGUGAAGGACGACUGCCCUAUGGGUUGUAAACUUCUUUUGUAUAGGGAUAAACCUACCCUCGUGAGGGUAGCUGAAGGUACUAUACGAAUAAGCACCGGCUAACUCCGUGCCAGCAGCCGCGGUAAUACGGAGGGUGCAAGCGUAUCCGGGAUUAUUGGGUUAAAGGGUCCGUAGGCGGAUCUGUAAGUCCAGUGGUGAAAUCUCAACAGUUAAACUGUGAAAUUGCCAUUUGAUACUGGAGGGUCUUGAGUGUUGGGUGGAAGUAGUGGGAAUCAAGGUAGUGGUAACGGUUGAAAUG